UACGUAGGGUGCGAGCGUUGUCCGGAAUUAUUGGGCGUAAAGAGCUUGUAGGCGGUCUGUCGCGUCUGCUGUGAAAAUCCGGGGCUCAACCCCGGACUUGCAGUGGGUACGGGCAGACUAGAGUGUGGUAGGGGAGACUGGAAUUCCUGGUGUAGCGGUGAAAUGCGCAGAUAUCAGGAAGAACACCGGUGGCGAAGGCGGGUCUCUGGGCCGUAACUGACGCUGAGGAGCGAAAGCAUGGGGAGCGAACAGG
rnacentral:rRNA from 1 species